rnacentral:rRNA from 1 species
UACAGAGGGUGCAAGCGUUGUCCGGAAUCACUGGGCGUAAAGGGCGCGUAGGCGGCCCGAUAAGUAGGGGGUGAAAUCUUGCGGCUCAACCGCAAGGCUGCCUUCUAGACUGUCGGGCUUGAGCACAGUAGAGGCAGGUGGAAUUCCCGGUGUAGCGGUGGAAUGCGUAGAGAUCGGGAAGAACACCCGUGGCGAAGGCGGCUCUCUGGGACGGUACUGACGCUGAGACGCGAAAGCGUGGGGAGCGAACAGG